rnacentral:rRNA from 1 species
AUUGAACGCUGGCGGCAGGCCUAACACAUGCAAGUCGAGCGAGCGGAGGACGGGUGAGUAAUGUAUGGGGAUCUGCCUGAUGGCGGGGGAUAACUACUGAAAGCGGUCGCUAAUCCCGCAUACCAUGAGAUGACCCCAUAUGGGAUUAGCUAGUAGGUGAGGUAACGGCUUACCUAGGCGACGAUCCCUAGCUGGUCUGAGAGGAUGAUCAGCCACACUGGGACUGAGACACGGCCCAGACUCCUACGGGAGGCAGCAGUGGGGAAUAUUGCACAAUGGGCGCAAGCCUGAUACAGCCAUGCCGCGUGUAUGAAGAAGGCCUUCGGGUUGUAAAGUACUUUCAGUCGGGAGGCGUUACCGACAGAAGAAGCACCGGCUAACUCCGUGCCAGCAGCCGCGGUAAUUC